UUUCAUUUUCAGUUUUACAAUUUGAUCUCUUUCGUGGAUGGGCAUAAGAUCUCAUGUAGAUGUCAUUCUUCUCUUUAUGACAGUCAAUGCUGGUUUUCUUCAACCCGAUCAAGUUUGGAAUAACAUUUUCCUUUGGUAAUUUGCUUGCACUUGGAAGCACAGCGUUUCUUAUAGGGCCUAAACGACAAGUGACAAUGAUGCUUGACCCAGUUCGCUUAUAUGCAACUGCCAUUUAUCUAGCAAGCAUUAUCAUUGCUCUGUUUUCUGCUCUAUAUGUGCGGAACAAACUACUUACACUCUUGGCAAUUGUAUUGGAGUUUGGUGCACUUAUUUGGUAUGUCAGACUGUAGUCACACGCUGGUUCAGUCUUAUAAACACGGAUUGGGGGAUGGUGACAUAAGAAGAUAAGUUACUCUGUGGUUGGGAUAGGUGAAAUUAAGUACAACCAGGCUCAGCAGCAAACUCUCCUUUUAAAUUCUGGUAUAGCUUGAGCUAUGUUCCUUUUGCAAGGUCCAUGGUCUCAAAAGUGAUGAUGGCUUGCUUUGACACAGAAUUCUAGGGUUAUAGCUUGAGGAAAGGAUUAUAAUUGCAAAUAUGUACAGUAUGCAUUUAGCAAGUUCGCACCUCUAGGUGUUCUAAUCCAUAGAAUGGGUUAGGUGAGUGCACCUCGGUCAAAUGGAGAUACUUGGAGUGAAUGAACUGUUCGUUGAUGAACUAACUUCUGAUCCUUUCUAACACCUAAAUUUUUCUUCCUUAAGCCGAGGGUUUAUCGGAAACAGCCUCUCUAUCUCUAUGAGGUAGGGGUAAGGUCUGCGUACACACUACCCUCCCCAAACCUCAUUUAUGGAAUCAAAUUGGGUUUGUUGUUGUUGCAAGUAAAUGGAGAUUAUUGAGUUCA